rnacentral:rRNA from 1 species
CCUACGGGAGGCUGCAGUGGGGAAUAUUGGGCAAUGGGAGCAAGCCUGACCCAGCAACGCCGCGUGAAGGAAGAAGGCUUUCUGGUUGGAAACUUCUUUUCUCAGGGACGAAAAAAGUGACGGUACCUGAGGACUACGCCACGGCUAACUACAUGCCAGCGGCAGCGGUAAUACGUAGGUGGCGAGCGUUAUCCGGAUUUAUUGGGUGUAAAGGGCGUGUAGGCGGGAGCGCAAGGCAGAUGGGAAAAUUCAGGGCUUAACCCUGAGCCUGCAUUUGAAACUGUGUGUCUUGAGUGCGGGAGAGGCAAUCGGAAUUCCGUGUGUAGCGGUGAAAUGCGUAGAUAUCCGGAGGAACACCAGUUGCGAAGGCGGAGUGCUGGACAGUAACUGACGCUGAGGCGCGAAAGCGUGGGGAGCAAACAGGAUUAGAUACCCGUGUAGUC